rnacentral:rRNA from 1 species
UUUCUUCGGAAUGAAGUUUUUGUGACUGAGUGGCGGACGGGUGAGUAACGCGUGGGUAACCUGCCUCAUACAGGGGGAUAACAGUUGGAAACGACUGCUAAUACCGCAUAAGCGCACGGUAUCGCAUGAUACAGUGUGAAAAACUCCGGUGGUGUGAGAUGGACCCGCGUCUGAUUAGCUUGUUGGCAGGGUAACGGCCUACCAAGGCAACGAUCAGUAGCCGACCUGAGAGGGUGACCGGCCACAUUGGGACUGAGACACGGCCCAGACUCC